AGUGAACGCUGGCGGUAGGCCUAACACAUGCAAGUCGAACGACAGCACAGUAAGAGCUUGCUCUUACGGGUGGCGAGUGGCGGACGGGUGAGGAAUACAUCGGAAUCUACUUUUUCGUGGGGGAUAACGUAGGGAAACUUACGCUAAUACCGCAUACGACCUACGGGUGAAAGCAGGGGAUCUUCGGACCUUGCGCGAUUGAAUGAGCCGAUGUCGGAUUAGCUAGUUGGCGGGGUAAAGGCCCACCAAGGCGACGAUCCGUAGCUGGUCUGAGAGGAUGAUCAGCCACACUGGAACUGAGACACGGUCCAGACUCCUACGGGAGGCAGCAGUGGGGAAUAUUGGACAAUGGGCGCAAGCCUGAUCCAGCCAUACCGCGUGGGUGAAGAAGGCCUUCGGGUUGUAAAGCCCUUUUGUUGGGAAAGAAAAGCAGCAGGUUAAUACCCCGCUGUUCUGACGGUGCCCAAAGAAUAAGCACCGGCUAACUUCGUG
rnacentral:rRNA from 1 species